rnacentral:rRNA from 1 species
AAUACCGCAUAACACCAUUUGGAGACAUCUCCAGGUGGUCAAAGGAGGCGACUCCGGCAUAGGAUGGCCAUGCGUCGCAUUAGCUAGUCGGCGGGGUAACGGCCCACCGAGGCGACGAUGCGUAGGGGUUCUGAGAGGAAGGUCCCCCACACUGGUACUGAGACACGGACCAGACUCCUACGGGAGGCAGCAGUGAGGAAUAUUGGUCAAUGGGCGCAAGCCUGAACCAGCCAAGUCGCGUGAGGGAAGACGGUCCUAUGGAUUGUAAACCUCUUUUGUCGGGGAGCAAAGCGCGGUACGAGUACCGCGAAGGAGAGUACCCGAAGAAAAAGCAUCGGCUAACUCCGUGCCAGCAGCCGCGGUAAUACGGAGGAUGCGAGCGUUAUCCGGAUUUAUUGGGUUUAAAGGGUGCGUAGGCGGAUUUGUAAGUCAGCGGUAAAAAUGCGGUGCUCAACGCCGUAUCGCCGUUGAAACUGCAGGUCUUGAGUGAGCGAGAAGUAUGCGGAAUGCGUGGUGUAGCGGUGAAAUGCAUAGAUAUCACGCAGAACUCCGAUUGUGAAGGCAGCAUACCGGCGCUCAACUGACGCUGAGGCACGAAAGCGUGGGGAUCGAACAGGAUUAGAUACCCUGGUAGUCCACGCAGUAAACGAUGAAUACUAACUGUCCGGUCCGCUUAAGGGCUGGGUGGUACAGC